rnacentral:tRNA from 1 species
GGGCCCAUAGCUCAGUUGGCAGAGCAGAGGACUCAUAAUCCUCGUGUCGCAGGUUCGAGUCCUGCUGGGCCCACCA